UCUAAAAUUUUGUGAAUAACUACGACUGCAGAUGCGCAAGUUGUUGCAACUUCCUCUGGUUUUUGGUCGUCGUCCUUCUCUGCAUUGAAUAACAUUACAAAGGGAAGGUCACGGGUCACCAUAACUGGUAACGCCCCCCGUUCGGGAAAUUAAUACCAAGAAGGAAGAACAUGGCCAUUUGAGCACACUGCUCUGACAGGGAUACAUCUGUUUACGACCGGCUACAUGCUAUUGUCUGCAUUGUCCACGUACAAUUGGUCGCCUGCUAAUAAUAGUCCGAUCAAUUCCAUCGUUGAGCUUAACAUUUAUGGAAUGGGAAAUUAUUUACUGGUGCUUACAAGAAAUGAAGAAAGCCGGUACUGACAUCAUCAGCUGGGCUCUGGCUAAGUUGCUGAAUUGACCUUUAAUUUCCUCGGAAUAUCACCCACAACUAAGAAUUGGAGUGCUAGGAGGAAGGCGGAUGACACAAAACCGAAGGUAACAAAAGAUGCCGAAGAAGAAGAGCAAGGAAAGGAUAAACAUGCGUCAAAAGCAAGGGAAACGAAGCUCAGAUCAUGGACGGAGAAAGAUACAUUGAAUGAGACGGUGCAUCCUAUACGAAAGCAGCCGAAAAUAAACAACAAUGCAAUUUGCUUGUAUCAUAGCUUUGCGUUUUUUUUUCCC
rnacentral:lncRNA from 1 species